GGGAUUUCCAAGGGAGCAGAGCAUUAAUAAGGGAAGCCUGGGAGGAAUACUUCCUCUUUGCUGGAUGUGGCGUCUGCGUGUACCAUCUGGAAUUGCUGUAGCCAACUUACAAAUACAGACGAAAGCUUUAUCAACCUGCUGAGCACAGCAGAAUGGAAAGAUGCAAAGCACCCUGCUCUUGGGAACUGGCCACCUUCAGACUUCUUGCUACAUCAGGUUUUAUCUACUACAAAGGAUAUCACUUGGGAAGGAAUUUCUUGAAACUGCUCCCAAGAGAGCCAUUGGACCAUGUGGUAAACAACUCCUAGCUGAUGGAUUAUUGGGAAUAUUAACAUCAUCCAGAAUGCUAUGGGGAGAAGACAACUGGAAGCUCCGUGUGGACAAACCUCCUGGACUCUGCCCCACAUAUCUCUUCCCUUGGCUGAUUUGAAUUUAAGCUGACAGCUGACACGCCCUUCCUUUGUGCAUUUUAUCCUGGGACAAAAUGAGAAGACAUCCUUCAGUUCCCAUCUUGGAUGGCAUAACUUCAAAACCAAGGGAGAUGGAGGAGUUUUAGAGGAGUAGAAGGCUGCAAGCAAGAACUGAUGCAUUACAUCUCCAGUCACCUCACUCUAAGAUUGUCCUGUAGCUAAGACUGUUGAAUGAGACUGUUGUUCUUCAGUUUGCAGCCACAAAGCACGGAGGCAUCUCCCCAAGAAUCCACUGCAGGGAGGAUGAACAGCCCUUACCUGGAUUUUUGCUUUAUCUAAAAAUAUAUUUGUAGAAGAAGGAGCAUUCUAGUUUCCAAAUACAAAGGGCAAUCUCCUUCUCUGUGUGUGCACGUGCAAACAAACACACUUCUACAAGUAAGCAUUCUUCUUUAUUAUCAUAGUCAUCAUCAUCACUGGGUUGGCAACUAAAAACAAAACUACAAAACUCUCAUGUUAGCAGUUGAGUAACUUUUAAUAACCAGAUACAAACCAUUCUUCAUUGUUUACAAGGGGCAUUAAAAAGAAAAGGAGGUUGAACUGCAAUGUGAAGUGUAGUUAAAUAUGUAGACAUCUUGGAUUCUAGAAGAGUUUGUAAUGGAUUAAAGGGUUAAGCUAUGAAAUUGUUGCCCUCUGUGAUUUUUCCACACUAGAACAGACUGACAUGGUUUGAAGCAGUUGGGCUUUAACCUAUAGAUAGGAGGACAGAGAUGAUUGCCUAUGAAGCAAUUAUUAAAUAGCUGCAUUUUGGCAUGUUCUAGUUGAAAAGAUUUAGUUUUACCUAUAUCACCUCAUCAUCACUAAUUUAAUCAUCCUCAGAAAAUGCAAAAAUAAUGAUGUACAUUUGACAAGUCUUAUACAAAAUUAUGUUUCAUAGCUUUGUGGUCAGAAUUAAGCCAUGUUCUAAAAUACAAAUGAAUAGUUUACAGCCCACUAAUUCCUAACUGUAAGUGUUAAGUCUAUAUAAAAAUAAGAGACAAGCUUGUGAUCAGGAAUAGCUUCCAAUUAUGAAAAAUUUAAAUAAAAAUAAUAGAAUGUGCUUAAUUUAUUUAUCAUAUACAAAGUAGACAUAUGUGACCAAAAUGAUUCAUUAUUUUUACGAUUUUCAUGGGAAUAAGUUUGACAAUAUUAAGUGCUGGAGAUAGAAUAUCAGGUAAUCUUAAAUACUGUUCAUAGGAAUGUACAACCAUUUUGGAGAACAGUUGGAAUUAUCCAAAGAAAGCUGAAGAUUUUCCUAACUUAUAAUUUUAAAAAUUGGCACAUGCCCUCAAGUAACAGUUGCAUACCUAAGGAGACAUGUGUAAGUAUUUUUACAGCAGCAUUAUUUAUAAUAGCCCAAAUUGGAAAUAACCUAAAAUCAUAUGUUCUUACAAAGGAGUACUACACAACAGUGAAAGCAAAUAAACUAUAGCUAAAUGUUAUCUAUCUUGAAGGCAUUUAUAAGAAUAAUGAUGCUUUCACAAAGUAAAUUGCAGGAUGUUAUAUACAAUGUGAUACAAUUCAUGUAAGUUACCAAACAUGCAACACAAUACAUAACAUUGUCCAAGGAUAAGUAUAAAUGCAGUAAAGGUAUAAAUAAAUGUAGGAUUAUGAUGCUUGCUUGAAUAUUCUGUAUACUCUUUUGCAUAUCUUUAAUAUUAUUUAAUAAAUGAAUAGACAAAUCAGUAAUACUAAAACCAAAGUCCAAGGGUGCCAGAUUCAAUUCAAGAGGUAGAAUAAAACUGCUGGAGGAGAGGUGGAGAUUGCAAGACAUAAAUGGGUUUAGAAUUUUUUCCCUGUAUUUUCCUCUGUGACAGUAGAUAUUAAGUUGCUAUUUUCUUUAGAAAAUAAGUUCAAAGAGGGAGACGAUCCCCAUUCCAUAUUUUUUUUUUCCCCAGACGGAGUCUUGUUCUGUUGCCCAGGCUGGAGUGCAGUGGCAUGAUCUUGGCUCACUGCAACCUCUGCUUCCUGAGUUGAAGCAAUUCUCCUGUCUCAGCCUCAUGAGUAGCUGGGAUUACAGGUGCCUGCCACCAUGCUCGACUAAUUUUUCUAUUUUUAGUAGAGAAGGGGGUUUCACCAUGUUGGCCAGGCUGGUCUUGAACUCCUGACCUCGUGAUCCACCCAAAGUGCUGGGAUUACAGGCAUGAGUCACCGAGCCUGGCCCUAUUCCAUUUUUUAUCUAUCACAUUUUUUUUUUUUAUUCUGAGAGGGCAUAAAGAUAUGGGGUUAUGGAAGCAAGUCUUUCAGAAGGCCCUCCUCUUUGAGGGACAUGAUUAGUUCAGUAUGUCUUAAGCAGAUAAUUUCUGAGUCAGUGUUAUAUUAGAUUGGAACCAGAUAUUGAUCAAACUGUGGCAGUGCUUAAAUGUAAGCGUGAAGAGGUGAGACUGUGUCAUAGACAUUAGAGUGCUACUAAUAUAUGUAUGCAUGUAGGGAAACAAGAUAAGGAUACAUAAAUUAAUAGAGAUAGGUACAUACUUUUAUAUACAGCUAUACGUAAAUACAUAAGCAUAUAUAUCUUACACCUGUAAGUAUGUGUCUAUUAUCUAUCUAUAAUUAUUUAUGUCUAUAAUUAUCACUACAAUUAUAUAUCCUCAUUAGAAUACUCUGACUUAUCCAGGAUUGGGAUGGGGGUGGGGGGCAGAGUGUUGAAGAAAAGUUAUAAAAAUAUUAGCUGGUGGGCCAGGCACGGUGGCUCACUCCUGUAAUCUCAGUACUUUGGGAGGCUGAGGCGGGCAGAUCACGAGGUCAGGAGAUCGAGACCAUCCUGGCUAACACAGUGAAAUCCCGCCUCUACUAAAAAUACAAAAACAAAAUUAGCCGGGCGUGGUGGCAGGGGCCUGUAGUCGCAGCUACCGGGGAGGCUGAGGCAAGAGAAUGGCGUGAACCCGGGAGGCGGAGGUUGCAGUGAGCCGAGAUCGCGCCACUGCACUCCACCCUGGGUGACAGAGUGAGACUCCGUCU
ensembl:lncRNA LINC01915 long intergenic non-protein coding RNA 1915